rnacentral:misc_RNA from 1 species
GAUGAAGAACGUAGCGAAAUGCGAUAAGUAAUGUGAAUUGCAGAAUUCAGUGAAUCAUCGAAUCUUUGAACGCACAUUGCGCCCGCCAGUAUUCUGGCGGGCAUGCCUGUUCGAGCGUCAUUACAACCCUCAGGCCCCCGGGCCUGGCGUUGGGGAUCGGCGGGGCCCCCCGUGGGCACACGCCGUCCCCCAAAUACAGUGGCGGUCCCGCCGCAGCUUCCAUCGCGUAGUAGCUAACACCUCGCGACUGGAGAGCGGCGCGGCCACGCCGUAAAACACCCAACUCUUCUGAAGUUGACCUCGAAUCAGGUAGGAAUACCCGCUGAACUUAAGCAUAUCAAUAAGCGGAGGA